rnacentral:rRNA from 1 species
AUUAUGGAGAGUUUGAUCCUGGCUCAGGACGAACGCUGGCGGCGUGCCUAAUACAUGCAAGUCGAGCGGAACAUAAGGAGCUUGCUCCUUAUGU